rnacentral:rRNA from 1 species
UACGUAGGCAGCGAGCGUUGUUCGGAAUUACUGGGCGUAAAGAGUGUGUAGGCGGUGUUCCCAAUCUGUUGUGAAAUCUCCCGGCUUAACUGGGAGGGUGCAGCGGAAACUAGAAUGCUAGAGGGUGGGAGAGGUAAGCGGAAUUCCUGGUGUAGCGGUGAAAUGCGUAGAUAUCAGGAGGAACACCUGUGGUGUAGACAGCUUACUGGACCACUUCUGACGCUGAGACACGAAAGCGUGGGUAGCAAACAGG